AACGAACGCUGGCGGCAGGCUUAACACAUGCAAGUCGAACGCAUCGCAAGAUGAGUGGCAGACGGGUGAGUAACGCGUGGGAACAUACCCUUUUCUACGGAAUAGCGCUGGGAAACUGGAAUUAAUACCGUAUACGCCCUACGGGGGAAAGAUUUAUCGGGGAAGGAUUGGCCCGCGUUGGAUUAGCUAGUUGGUGGGGUAAAGGCCUACCAAGGCGACGAUCCAUAGCUGGUCUGAGAGGAGUAUCAGCCACAUUGGGACUGAGACACGGCCCAAACUCCUACGGGAGGCAGCAGUGUGGAAUAUUGGACAAUGGGCGCAAGCCUGAUCCAGCCAUGCCGCGUGAGUGAUGAAGGCCUUAGGGUUGUAAAGCUCUUUCACCGAUGAAGAUAAUGACGGUAGUCGGAGAAGAAGCCCCGGCUAACUUCGUGCCAGCCGCCGCGGUAAAAC
rnacentral:rRNA from 1 species